GCCUGCUUGAGUCAAAGAUACUGUGUGUCUUUAUCUCCCAGCUGCAAAAGCUGAUAAGAAUGCAGAGGUGAUGUGAUAAUUUGUAGCUGAUUAUAGGAAUUUUUGACCUACAAAUGGAGAGAGAGAGAGAGAGAGAGAAGAGAAUGAUUGCUGAUUGCUGCUAUUGUAUGUAUCUUUUUAUGCUUUUAUGUUUUUGGAUUUUGCCAGGAAAAGCGAGAAAACCCCAUCAUAUCUCCUGAGUUUGACUUUGGAAGACACAGGGAUUAAAAUAUACCAAGAUCAAAUCUCGUAAACUUGAAACAGAGCAGCACUUUGCAGGCAUGGCAGAUGCCAGCAUUUUCAACCUCACACUGCCAGCUGAAGCUCACCUCUGCUUUCACUUACUGGAUGUGUGACCUUGGGCUCUCUCUGUAAGACGCUUAAACCUGCUUCCUUCUCUGUAAAAUGUGGGUAAUAACGCUUACAUCUCAGAGUUGUUGCGUUUUCUAUAAAGCCAGCUAAGAUGGCUGACUUAGAACAUUAGCUAUUAUUAUGACUAUUCCUCAAGCUCCUGUGUACUUGGGCACUGACUCUGGAGCCAGACUUCUUAGGUUCAAAUUCAAGCUCUGCCAGUUUCUAUUUGUGUAACCUUGAAUAAAUUGCUUAACUUCUCUGCCUCAGUUUCGUUAUCUGUAAAAUGGGGAUAAUAAUAUCAUUUACCUCAUUGGGUGGUUGUGUGAAUUAAAUGGAUGAAUAUGUAUCAUGUCCUUAAAGUGGUAUUCGGCAUAGAGUAAAUACUAUGUAAGUGUUUCAUAAGUGAAAUAAAAUAAGUG
rnacentral:lncRNA from 1 species